GAAGAACACCUUAUUAAAUUGAAGAAAGUAAUAAAAAAGUUGAGUUUUAAAGAGGUGAACUUCAAUAGCGACGAUGCUGAAUCUGCCUACAUUCAGAAAAGCAGAUUUGAAAAAAAAAAGCUGUUGCAGUUUGGCGGAAUAUGCUAUUUGGAACAGAGGCAUGCUAGCACGGGCCGUGAGCGAGACAAAAAGUUCCACUAUGAAGGCAGCCGUUAUGCCGAGAUUAAUGCGAUGGUGGAAAAAUUGAUCAAGCAUCGCCACCACCAUCGUUUGUUCCCCGAUUUUAAAGAUGUCUUGGAUGUAGUGCGAUCUAGAAAUAGAGCACAUGGCCUUGCGCUUAGCAUGAAGAAUGAGGAAAGCCUUGGUCAAGGAGGUGUAUGUCGCCAAACAGGAUGAUUUGGAACUGGAGGCUAAAGAACAGGAGCAAGACAACGGUGAUGUCUCCUCACAUCCUAGUGAAAGCGACGAGAGUUAAGAUGCAGAUGAAGAUGAGGAGGGGGACGAUGAAGAGGAACGAGAAGAUGAAGGUGAAGAUGAAGAAGAGAAUGUGGAAGAGGAGGAUGAAGAUUACUCAAGACACUCCAUGGAUAUCAGUCCUGCCGAAAGUGUUGUUGAGCAGAAUAAGAAAAAACCGGAUUCACAGAACAUAUCUGACUCAUCUUCAUCAAACGACAGCAGUCACGCUGAAUACAGUUAGGAGGAGGACGAAGAUUACAACGAAGAGGAAUGUACAGGAUCCUCACAACUCGUCGUAGUCUUGAGGGAUUUUUUCGAGAAUGAGAAAAGCUCAUGGAAAGCUGAGGCACAAGAAGUGGGUGCGGAGGGCUCGACACUUCCUGCUGAUCAAGGCGUUCCGAGGGUUAGUGAAGCCGAUUGCAUCCACGAAUGGCGAUGUCAACACUCACGAGGCUUGAGCCAGGGAAGCUGAAUGGAAGCAUCAGCAGUGGAAG